GGGCUUCCAGCCCUUCAGGCCCAGCUCUCCCGGAGAGCACCAAAGUCCCUUUGCUCCAUUUACUUGCACUCUUCGGCCAGCAAGUGUUUCCUAAUGUCUCACCCCCAGUCCCAGCUUUCCUGCUGCAAUUUCUGCCUGUUCCCUCCCAUUUCAGGCCUUAAGGGAGUGUGGCUGGGCUUCUCUCCUCCCCCUCACUCCAAAGCCGCACUUGAUACAAGGUGGAAAUCAAGGCACCACUUCUGGCUUCCCAGCCUUGAACUUGCCCUUCCCUCUCAAUGUACCUGGUUUCCUCAGCUUCCCUGUGCAGCAACAGUGUCACUCCCCUCUUGCUUUUCCCAAGCUCCCCAUGUGCCCCUCUCAGCAGAUCUGUCUUAAAGGGGCCAGGUGCAGAGAAAGGCAGAAAUCCUAAUAAUGUUCCCAGCGAUCACUGCCUGUCGCGGAGUGCUGAAGGGCCAAGUGUUGAUCUGAGUCCUCAUCACACGGGACUUCAUUUAGUCUCACAAUAGGCAAAAACCGAGGCCCAGUAGUACCUUACCCACGGUCACAUCCCCAGAGCCAUUUGUCCCUCAUAGUUCAGAACUUGACUCAGAAAGCAGUUGAGAAAAGUAUGGAAUGACCCCAGAUUCAGGAAGGCAAGUCUGGCCUUAGAAACUGAAAGGCCCAUC
rnacentral:lncRNA from 1 species